CAAGAAGGUAUUAAACUUUUGUGGUGGGAGACAACAGUAUGGAGCCCCUGCAAUAAGAUGACAACAAGAGACAACCACAUACUGAUGUUCACGGAAUUCCACAUGACCUAGAGAGGUCUGUUCUGAGGAGGAGCUGGAGACCAUUAUGUCGAUGGCACAGCUCAGGCAAGAACGGAGGAUCCAAGCUUCAGCUUAAACGAGGGCCUGGGUGUCCAAGGGGUGAAUGGAGUCCCUUGGGGUGACUUGGCAGGGACCAGCCAAAGCCUUCUGGUGCUCUCAGGGUCCUGAAAAACCAAAAUAUCAGAUUUUUCUGUAGCAAGGAGAGCACUGUUUCCUCUUUACGUUUAGCACACCCCAGCUGACAUGUUGAUCAAAUAAACUCCCUUCCCAAUCUUUUUCCAUAAGAAGGUGGUGACAGAGUAGCAAAGGCAUCCAAGAAUCUGGACCUACAAAGUUAAUUCUUUCCCCAAAGAUGGCUCCCAGUCAACCCAGCCAUGCACAGAUCAACAAGGAACUGCAGUAUAAAGCUUGAAAACCAAGACAUUCAAGCAAAAGAUAUGCAUUAAAAUACAAAGCAUAAUAAGUUUUUCUUCAAUUUUAAGCCUUUCUGUACCUGAUUAUGAGUUUUUUGGUAUGAAAAGCCCUGAAUGCUACUUAGCCAACCAGAGAAUUGAGAUUCAGAGUCCUAUAUCUUCAAAUUCAUGAGUGUUUGGCUGGAUUUUGGGAACAAUAAUGGCUCCCUUAUUCCCCCCAGUUAAAAGAGAAGAGAUUUAUCCCUCCUUCCUGGGUGGCUUUUCCCCAGUGACUGUUUGCAGUGCCAGUGAAUCCAUUUUAAUGGCUAUCCACUGUAACCUACAGCAGAUACAAUCCUGAUCCAAGCACUGCUUCUGCACAGCACCUGUGAAACUGUACAAGAGUGUUAGUGAUGAUGGGAUUGUCACAAUGGAAUUCAGUUCCUCUGGUUUGCAGUUUUUCUUGCUAAUUAUUUUUAAGGAGACUAAAUCUUCAAUAACUGAACCCAGUUUUUCUUGCUACUUGAACCAUCUGGAAAGAGCACUAGAUAUUUACCCUUUGUAAGCUCAUUAGAUCUCACUUGCAGGUUUUCUUUCUCUCCUCCUGUAAGGAAAAGGAUGUGAUCACUGUAGCUCUUUCUUGUGGGCAAAAACUUUCAUAGGAAGUGACUGCAAUGUUAGAAAUUUGUCAUUUUGAUUUGGGCAACACUUGACUUUUCUUAUGUGCAAUAAAUCUGGAAUUCAGCAGUAGGACACAAUGGAACACUCAAAAAUGCCUUAUUACUCAGUUCUGGAUUCUUGGAAUAGAUGUAUUUUAGGAUGUGUAACUAGUGAGGUUUUACAGGAUACUGGUUCAGUAUAUUCUCAAUUUGUACAAAGCUUUAUGUCAGAAUGUACACAGGGAAAAAACACAGCAUGAAAUUAGAAAAGUUUAACUCUGGUUAUUAUUAUUCUGUAGCUUGUCAUGACAAAUGAUACCUGAAGUCAUGGAAGCUGGAAAAUUAUUUGUGGAUACACAGGUACCUGGCAUGUUCACUGGAGAGCAAUUGAAGUAAAUCAGUAGUUAUUUUUUGUGUUUCUCCCAUCUCUUCUCACUGCAGAGCAAAACCAAAAGGUUGUUAUGGUCCUUAAUAAGAAGCAGAACAUUUAAUUUAAGAUUGAAUAGUUCAGUUUUUCAUUUCUCUGCUAUUUUAAAUGUUUAUUACUAUG